AUGUACCACGCGUCCACUGAGGUUCUGAGCGCGCCGUCCGUGUCCACCUGGCGGCUGCUCGCUCCGUUGUGGUAGCC
rnacentral:sRNA from 1 species